GUGCCUAACACAUGCAAGUCGAACGAGAAAGGGGAGCAAUCCCUGAGUAAAGUGGCGACCGGGUGAGUAACACGUGACUAACCUACCCUUGAGUGGGGGAUAACCUCGGGAAACCGGGGCUAAUACCGCAUAAUGCCUUUGGGUUAAAGGAGCAAUUCGCUUAAGGAGGGGGUCGCGGCCGAUUAGGUAGUUGGCGGGGUAACGGCCCACCAAGCCCGUGAUCGGUAGCCGGCCUGAGAGGGCGCACGGCCACACUGGAACUGAAACACGGUCCAG
rnacentral:rRNA from 2 species